UACAGAGGGUGCGAGCGUUAAUCGGAAUUACUGGGCGUAAAGCGCGCGUAGGCGGCUUUUCAAGUCGAUUGUGAAAUCCCCGGGCUUAACCUGGGAACUGCAGUCGAGACUGUCUAGCUAGAGUAUGGGAGAGGGAAGUGGAAUUUCAGGUGUAGCGGUGAAAUGCGUAGAUAUCAGGAAGAACACCAACGGCGAAGGCAGCUCGCUAGGACGGUACUGACGCUGAGACGCGAAAGCGUGGGGAGCGAACAGG
rnacentral:rRNA from 1 species